rnacentral:rRNA from 1 species
UACAGAGGGGGCAAGCGUUGCUCGGAAUCACUGGGCGUAAAGCGCACGUAGGCGGAUCUUUAAGUCAGGGGUGAAAUCCUGGAGCUCAACUCCAGAACUGCCUUUGAUACUGGGGAUCUCGAGUCCGGAAGAGGUGAGUGGAACUCCGAGUGUAGAGGUGGAAAUUCGUAGAUAUUCGGAAGAACACCAGUGGCGAAGGCGGCUCACUGGUCCGGUACUGACGCUGAGGUGCGAAAGCGUGGGGAGCAAACAGGG